rnacentral:rRNA from 1 species
AGAGUUUGAUCCUGGCUCAGAUUGAACGCUGGCGGCAGGCUUAACACAUGCAAGUCGAGCGGGGAAGUAUAGCUUGCUAUACGACCUAGCGGCGGACGGGUGAGUAAUGCUUAGGAAUCUGCCUAUUAGUGGGGGACAACAUUCCGAAAGGAAUGCUAAUACCGCAUACGCCCUACGGGGGAAAGCAGGGGAUCUUCGGACCUUGCGCUAAUAGAUGAGCCUAAGUCAGAUUAGCUAGUUGGUGGGGUAAAGGCCUACCAAGGCGACGAUCUGUAGCGGGUCUGAGAGGAUGAUCCGCCACACUGGGACUGAGACACGGCCCAGACUCCUACGGGAGGCAGCAGUGGGGAAUAUUGGACAAUGGGCGCAAGCCUGAUCCAGCCAUGCCGCGUGUGUGAAGAAGGCCUUUUGGUUGUAAAGCACUUUAAGCGAGGAGGAGGCUACUUGGAUUAAUACUCUAGGAUAGUGGACGUUACUCGCAGAAUAAGCACCGGCUAACUCUGUGCCAGCAGCCGCGGUAAUACAGAGGGUGCGAGCGUUAAUCGGAUUUACUGGGCGUAAAGCGUGCGUAGGCGGCUUUUUAAGUCGGAUGUGAAAUCCCUGAGCUUAACUUAGGAAUUGCAUUCGAUACUGGGAAGCUAGAGUAUGGGAGAGGAUGGUAGAAUUCCAGGUGUAGCGGUGAAAUGCGUAGAGAUCUGGAGGAAUACCGAUGGCGAAGGCAGCCAUCUGGCCUAAUACUGACGCUGAGGUACGAAAGCAUGGGGAGCAAACAGGAUUAGAUACCCUGGUAGUCCAUGCCGUAAACGAUGUCUACUAGCCGUUGGGGCCUUUGAGGCUUUAGUGGCGCAGCUAACGCGAUAAGUAGACCGCCUG